AUACCUUUGGUAAUAAUUAUAAACAUUUCAUUAUAAGUACAUUAUUUUGUUACAAUUACCUUACGUUUAGUUGAAACUAUUUCUCUAAGGUUUUGGGUAAUUUAGACCAAGGCUGGAUUAUCAUAACCAAGUCUUUUUUUCAGUGUACUUCUCACACGGCACUCCCGACGCGCGCUUGUUUUGUUACUCGCGCCGGUGCAACAACACGCCCGUAAACAACGCCGAACGUGUGAUCUCCGCGCCGAAUUAUCAAUACUGGCCGAACGAUCGAUCGACAUCGUCCUCUCGCACUCGCGGUAAUUAACGGGAUGGUAUCCGCGGUAAGUUUACGGCACGGGGGCUACACGAGCUAAAACAAAAACUGCGGGGGCGACGCGAGUUACAAUAAAAGUCACGGGGUCUACACGAGUUAAAACAAAAAUUGCGGGGGCUACGCGAGCUACAACAAAAAUCGCGGGGAAGGGGGAGGGGGGACCGGAGGCUUCGCUCCGACGGAGACGCCCACGACGCAAGUGCGCGACAAGAUCAUCAUCUCCGACCGUCCCCCGAGAGCGACGCGCGACUAUCAGGAACUAUCGGCGACGAUUCCGUUGUCGCGUCCACCGUGAUUUGACCACCUAACCAAGACGCCUGGUACUCGAUCGCCCGGCAUCUCGCAGUCCCCGCGGAGGAUCUUUCCGUCGUCACACUCGCGAGUCACGACAAGACGACGAUCAACGAGAUACGUGGACGAUCAUCUGCUCGUCAUCUCAUCCGACACUCCCGGCGUGUCCACAGUGCACUCGCGAUACGCGAGUCAACGACAACGCGGAAACAUGGCGAUCGUCCAUUGUCUCUUGUUGACGGGCACAGGUGUGGCGUGCCCACUCGCGACGAGUAAGUAAUCAACGCGACGCCACUCGCCGGGGACGCCCGACACCCCGACGCUGAUUCCGCUCGGGAUUACGCACGAAAUACGCGACGACGACCGUCCGCUGCCGUCGUCGGAGCGACGCGACGUCUCCGCCGAUCGACACCUCUGCCAACUUCGGCACGUAAGGCGUGACGUUCGCGAACGAAGCCUCCGACCCCCCUCGCGGUUUUUGGCGCCGCUCGUGUGACCCCCGUGCAAGUGCACUUACCCGCCUAAUUGCGGCGCCAUUGCGCCUCGUUGUGCCGGACGUUGCUCGUGUGCGUGUCGAACGGUCAACAAAUCCCGAAAUACGCGGCGGUCGAGCGAUGGGUGGAGUACCCGACGAUGAUACGAUUGAGCGGCCGGUCGCUCAGAUACGCGUAAUCACCUUGGCGCGUCCUACCGUCGUUCGCAGCGUUUACGGCUGGGAUCCAACCUCGCGCGGUUAACCUCGCGGCACGUCGAGUUGUUGUUGAUCGCCGGGGUGAUGACGAUUGAUACGGGAUCGAUGCCUUGCACGGCGAAGAGCCCUUCCCCUUGCGUUUCGCCGGCAAAUCCGUCGUGUAAAGACGAGUACCGGGAGUCGAGAUCUCCGGGCUAAGUGAAGUGUUAUGUCCGCAAGCUGUACGUGUGUACACGGAGUAAGCGCAACAAGGAUGCCCGCAACGAUUCUGGAGCCGACCUGGUGGCGGUGUCAGGGAGAUCAAGGAUGCCCGCAACGGUUCUGGAGCCGACCUGGUGGCGGUGUCAGGGAGAUCAAUUGAAUAUUCAAGGAGAAACUCACGCUUCGCCCGGUUCUGACCGCCCAAGAACACGCACGCAAUCCCUCUCGCAUCGCAAUCGCGCGAAGUGGGUAAGUGGGAAUAUGUAUCAGACGCAUAUUUCACUCUCGUGACUGACGGUUGUUCGGCGUAGAGCUGUUAACGUUAAUAAGUAUCGUGUGCACGUGUCGACAAAAUCAGGCCAAUUUGCACGACCGAAACGUAACCCGCGUGACGUUAAUUAUCGCUGUAGCGACGAAUGCUUCUUAUUUGCCUCGCGUUUGUUUUUUUGCGUUUAUGUUGCCGCGACCCCCAAGAAUAUCGCGUCAAUAAAAGCCCCUUUUAGCGUGCGGAAUUAUUAAGUUUACCUUUCUCGUGAGUUUUAUCUCAUUCAGGGAUAUUAGUAGCGAAUUAUCACCGCGAGACAUAUACAUAUCUGCAUGCGCAUAUAUGUAUAAGAUUGUGGUAAACCAAUUUGCAUAGGUCGACUUAGAAGGUUUAAUGCCGCCAUAUCUGUGUGUCGGUUUUCCAACCGCCAAUAGCAAUUUGGCUCACGAUACGCUUAAGUCUAAUAAACCGCAUACAUUUGCCAAAAACAUGUUUCGUGAUUUAUGGCAAUCGAUAUAACUGUUACGAUCGAAAGUUGAGUUUCUGCGAGGAGAAAACUAAUUUACACAUUAAAUCAAACCUAAAAGGUGCGAAAUUAAUCUGACGGGAAUUAAUAGAAAAUUAUUUCUCUAUUAAUUUCAUUAAGUCCCAUAAAGGCACUAUUGAAAGAUUGAUGCUAUUUUGAAGGUACUUUGCGUUUGUCAGGCUUGAUUAAAUUGCAAUGAAUUGAACCGUACGGUAAAUCAAGGGGAAUAGGUAUUGACAUUGUUUCUUAAUGAAAACCUCGAGUUAGAAUCGACGUCGAACCGUUGUCAACUUGUCGAUAUUAUUUUACAUCCCUUGGCAGACGUUCCUUCCGUUCGUGUGUCGUUUGCUUACGUUACUGCGAAUGUGUCUACAGCAUCCGCCGCAGGAUUUGCAGUGAGAAGUAUCAGGUGUGCGAUAUCGACACGCGCGAGGGUGUAUCGCCCGGCGACCAAUUUCCAUCACUCGAGAUAUAUUAUGCGCGUCUCUAUCGCACUCGAUGCCCCGAACACGAGAGAAACGAAUGAAAACUAAUCGUCCUCUCCGGAGACUCGACGUCGAGUUGUACGGUAAUGAGCGUCAAAUUGCCAUUACAUUCCCUAAGGAGGGAAGAUACUUGCUGCUUCGAGGUAAAUUCUCAACCUGGAAAUGCAGGGACAUAAGGAAACGCUUACGUGAAAUUUCGCUGGUGAAUAUUUUAUGGCCCGUCUUUAUAUAGUAUAUAUAAAACAGCUUCGCUUAUGAUUACUCUACAGGCAGGCAAAAAAAUAAAUAAAAGCAUCGA